rnacentral:ncRNA from 2 species
GAUUAUCGAAGGAAUAAGCCUUAAUUCAUAAUC